UAUCGGGGUGCACACACGGCGCGAAAAACUUUAGCAAUGUCUGGCAAACAUGCGAUAAGGGAAGCCUCCGAAGUGCCAUGGUUACAAAUCUGGCUGUCGAGAUGCCUAAAAAGGCUUUAUG
rnacentral:rRNA from 1 species